rnacentral:rRNA from 1 species
UGGGGAAUAUUGGACAAUGGGCGCAAGCCUGAUCCAGCCAUGCCGCGUGAGUGAUGAAGGCCUUAGGGUUGUAAAGCUCUUUCGCCGGUGAAGAUAAUGACGGUAACCGGAGAAGAAGCCCCGGCUAACUUCGUGCCAGCAGCCGCGGUAAUACGAAGGGGGCUAGCGUUGCUCGGAAUCACUGGGCGUAAAGCGCACGUAGGCGGAUCGUUAAGUCAGGGGUGAAAUCCUGGAGCUCAACUCCAGAACUGCCCUUGAUACUGGCGAUCUCGAGUUCGAGAGAGGUUGGUGGAAACUCCGAGUGUAGAGGUGAAAAUUCGUAGAUAUUCGGAAGAACACCAGUGGCGAAGGCGGCCAACUGGCUCGAUACUGACGCUGAGGUGCGAAAGCGUGGGGAGCAAAACAGGAUUAGAUACCCUGGUAGUCCACGCCGUAAAACGAUGGAUGCUAGCCGUUGGGGGGUUUACCUCUCAGUGGCGCAGCUAACGCCUUAAGCAUCCCGCCUGGGGAGUACGGUCGCAAGAUUAAAAACUCAAAAUGAAUUGACGGGGUCAUAGCUGUUUCCU